rnacentral:rRNA from 1 species
CAAAUGUAUGGUUGACGUAUCUGAAAGGGAUACUUCUUCGGACAAUAUACAAGGUGCUGCAUGGUUGUCGUCAGCUCGUGCCGUGAGGGUGUCGGGUUAAGUCCCAUAACGAGCGCAACCCCUAUCAUUAGUUGCCAUCAGGUCAAGCUGGGGACUCUAAUGAAACUGCCUACGCAAGUAGUGAGGAAGGUGGGGGAUGACGUCAAAUCAGCACGGCCCUUACGUCCAGGGCUACACACGUGCUACAAUGGCCGGUACAGAGUGAAGCGAAACCGCGAGGUGAAGCAAAACGCAGAAAGCCGGUCUCAGUACGGAUUGGAGUCUGAAACUCGACUUCAUGAAGUUGGAAUCGCUAGUAAUCGCGCAUCAGCAUGGCGCGGUGAAUACGUUCCCGGGCCUU